GCUAGAAAAGCCUGUGGGACACAUGAGUUUUUGUUGGGUGUUUCUGCCUAUCCUGAAACUAUCAGCAGUGACUUGGUUUGUUUCCAGGUGGGAUCUUUUAUAAUGCUGCUGUGCACUACGUGGACAUCGUCAGUCUCUUGUUGGGAGAGAGCGUUCCAGACACAGUCUUUUCUUUGGGUCAUGCGUUCUGCUCAGAUGUGGCCUCUUUGAAAGAUGCAGACAGUGUCAUGAUCAGCAUGGAGUUUCCUAGUGGGGCCAUUGUGAGUCUGUAUAUCAGUCAACACUGCACCAGAAGCUGUGACCUGAGAGCGGAGUGUUUCCCCCAGGUUCAUGGUUCUCAAGGCACUUUACGGAUCAAUAAUCAGAAUCCCUUGGGGAUUACUGAGCAAGGCACCUCCGUGUCCAUAUACUCAGACACACAUGCCGAUCGAUGCCAAGAAGCAUACAGAGGACUCUUUCGACACUUUCUCAGAACCCUUAAAGGAAAAGAACCCCCAACUGUCCCCAAAGAACAGUUUCUCUGGACCCUUCAGGUGGCUGCAGCAGCUGAGCAGUCCUGGCGGAAUGGAUCAUCUGUCGACCUAAGCAAUGAAGGACAAGAUCCAAAUGCAGUAUCGGUUAUCAAGAUGGAAAUGCUGUGAAGAGGGAACUACUUACUGAAGAAGACAACCUUUUACCUAUUUACAUUUUCAUUAAUUUAAAAAAAUUAAUUGCAGUUUUUCGUGACUUUAUUUUCACUGGAAACCAUGAGCUGGGACCUUUGGGGAAAUGUGUGUAUAUGGUAAUGGUGUAGCAAGUAAUUUUCUUAGGAUGUUAUGUUAGGCCCAGAAAUGAAGCUUGGAGGGCGUCAUUCUGUCAGUGUGUAUUUUUCCUUGUGUUCGAAGGAGGCAUUUAGGUGAGAAAGGCUGACAUUUUGUUUUUAAAGAACCCGUCAACACAUAUGCAUCAUCCAUCCAGCCAUUUACCUUCCACCCUGUGGCAACAAAACAUGCUUCUAUGAAAAUAGGUUUGUUGCCCCUGUGUGGCUAUGUGGUCUGUUUCAGGGGUGAGGGCGGGGAGGAAGGACGGAGGGACGCUCCUUUCUCUUUUGAGAGAGGGUGGGACAAACAGUCCAAGAUCCCUAUCAGACAGUCAAGUGUAGAUGAGAUUGUGUGUCAGUGUUACAAAAAAAGAUAGUGCCUUCCGAAAUGGGACACUCUGCUUUAAACCAAGUUUUGGGUUGUCUUUUUUAUUCUUACAUCAGACUUACUGCAGAUGCUUUAUGUAUUUGAAGAUUCUCGUCUGUAAUUUCUCAUAUCCUACUUUUUCAAAUAAAAGUAAGUUUUCU
rnacentral:lncRNA from 1 species